CUCUCUCUUUCUCUCUCUCUCUUGCUUGAACAUUAUCUGGUUCUUGAGGGAUUUCUUUAUUUUUAUAGGUGAUAAUUCAUUUUAGUUUCUUUCUUAUACAAUGCUGCCACACAGGCAUUUGCACACUUGACUGCUGCUUUCUCAUACUGUAAAUAUGGGAGUAUUUGAUAUUUAGAGGGGAGUUCGCUGCAAUCCAAUCUAGCGGACUCAGUUUUAAUGUUUGGUGUGGUUUGAUGUCUGAAAUUUCUCAUUGUG
rnacentral:misc_RNA from 1 species